AUUGAACGCUGGCGGCAUGCUUUACACAUGCAAGUCGAACGGUAACAGGCCUUCGGGUGCUGACGAGUGGCGAACGGGUGAGUAAUGCAUCGGAACGUACCCAGAGGUGGGGGAUAACGCAGCGAAAGCUGUGCUAAUACCGCAUGUGAUCUGAGGAUGAAAGCGGGGGACCGAGCAGCAAUGUUUGGCCUCGCGCCUUUGGAGCGGCCGAUGUCGGAUUAGCUAGUUGGUGGGGUAAAGGCCUACCAAGGCGACGAUCCGUAGCUGGUCUGAGAGGACGACCAGCCACCCUGGGACUGGGACACGGCCCAGACUCCUACGGGAGGCAGCAGUGGGGAAUUUUGGACAAUGGGCGCAAGCCUGAUCCAGCAAUGCCGCGUGCGGGAAGAAGGCCUUCGGGUUGUAAACCGCUUUUGGCAGGAACGAAACGGUGUCCGCUAAUACCGGGCGCUAAUGACGGUACCUGCAGAAUAAGCACCGGCUAACUACGUG
rnacentral:rRNA from 1 species